GAUGAACGCUAGCGGCAGGCCUAACACAUGCAAGUCGAGGGGUAGAACACCUCGGGGUUUGAGACCGGCGCACGGGUGCGUAACGCGUAUGCAAGCUACCUUGUACAGGGGAAUAGCCCAGAGAAAUAUGGAUGAAUGCCACAUAGUAUAUAACCUUUGCAUGUUGAUUAGAUUAAAGUUCCAACGGUUCAAGAUGAGCAUGCGUCCCAUUAGUUAGUUUGUAAGGUAACGGCUUACCAAGACGAUGAUGGGGAGGGGUCCUGAGAGGGAGCUCCACCGCACUGGAACUACGACACGGACCCGAAUCCUACGGGAGGCAGCAGUGAGGAAUAUUGGUCAAUGGUCGCAAGUCUGAACCAGCCAUGCCGAGUGCGGGAAGACGGUGCUAUGGAUUGUCAACUGCUUUUAUACAGAAAGCAACCCUCCCACGUGUGGGAGCUUGACGGUACUGUAGGAAUAAGGAUCGGCUAACUCCGUGCCAGCAGCCGCCGUAA
rnacentral:rRNA from 1 species